AACUGUAUCUUUGGAAAUUCCCCAAAGUCAUGUGGAUUCAAGUCGGAGGAGUCAGGUCUUUGGUAUAAUCCUAGGAAGCAGGCAGAAUAUGGAUUGAUGCCCUUUUUACAGGGCUUCAACAGAUGUCUGCUGUGAACAGAACUGGUGAUAGAAUCAUCUGAAAGGACUGUGCCAGGCUGAAACGCUGACCCCGCUCAUUAAGCACAUCCCCCACCAUCUCAGAGAACUGCUACUGGCCUUCAUCGGGGGAGGGGAACGUCCACUUCCUCCCAGGUGGUAACACUACGCCGCAAGAGUCUCCCUUCCAGGAGGGCCUGUUGGAGCCCCUGCCCGGUCUUCUACCUCAGAAUCCUACUUUGCCUUCUGGCGUGGACUCAGACACAGGCGCCGAGGAACCGUCUACCUGCAGAGAGCCUGCGUCCCGAGGACUACAGGGUUCACUUCUUUGGUUCAGUGGAGCCUGUGAUGUGCGUUGAUGGUACCCUGGAGCUGGUUCCCCAGAAGGGCUGUUCCUGAGCCUCCCUGGAGAAGAUCAAGGGCUUUAUGCACAGUUCUGCUUCGACUUGUGGCCAGCAGGCACUGGCUGUUUUGGAAUUUGGGACCCCUGGACGCUUGGAAUUUUUUGAAAGAAGGACUCUGGGCAGGAUCAUUACAGAAACUCAGGAGUGGCCUGGCCCAGAGUGGCCAAAUGAAUGAAUGCAUGCAUGAGUAAAACAAUGAAUUCCUCCAUUCAUCAAGUUCAUUCUCUUCAACAUCCUACAA